UGCCUUCAUGUGUUGCCUCUUCAUCGUUUCUGUGAUGAAGCAGGUGUCAGCGAAGGCAAACAGAGAAAGCUGGGGUUUUAUUUUCUGGGAGGAGUCGGCAGUGACUCUCCUAACAGAUAAAACAGCAGCGACACCU